rnacentral:miRNA from 1 species
AAGCUUUCUCAUCUGUGACACU